GACGAACGCUGGCGGCGUGCUUAACACAUGCCAGUCGAACGGAAAGGCCCUGCUUUUGUGGGGUGCUCGAGUGGCGAACGGGUGAGUAACACGUGAGUAACCUGCCCUUGACUUUGGGAUAACUUCAGGAAACUGGGGCUAAUACCGGAUAGGAGCUCCUGCUGCAUGGUGGGUGUUGGAAAGUUUCGGCGGUUGGGGAUGGACUCGCGGGUUAUCAGCUUGUUGGUGGGGUAGUGGCUUACCAAGGCUUUGACGGAUAGCCGGCCUGAGAGGGUGACCGGACAAAAUGGGACUGAGAUACGGCCCAGACUCCAACGGGAGGCAGCAGUGGGGAAUAUUGCAAAAUGGGCGGAAGCCUGAUGCAGCAACGCCGCGUGCGGGAUGACGGCCUUCGGGUUGUAAACCGAUUUCGCCUGCGAAGAAGCGUGAGUGACGGUAAUGGGUAAAGAAGCACCGGCUAACUACGUG
rnacentral:rRNA from 1 species